rnacentral:rRNA from 1 species
GACGGGUAUCCGGCCUGAGAGGGUGAACGGACACACUGGAACUGAGACACGGUCCAGACUCCUACGGGAGGCAGCAGUAGGGAAUAUUGCUCAAUGGGGGAAACCCUGAAGCAGCAACGCCGCGUGGAGGAUGAAGGUUUUAGGAUUGUAAACUCCUUUUGUUAGAGAAGAUUAUGACGGUAUCUAACGAAUAGGCACCGGCUAACUCCGUGCCAGCAGCCGCGGUAAUACGGAGGGUGCAAGCGUUACUCGGAAUCACUGGGCGUAAAGCGUGCGCAGGCGGGAUAGUAAGUCAGAUGUGAAAUGCUAUGGCUUAACCAUAGAACUGCAUUUGAAACUGCUAUUCUA